rnacentral:lncRNA from 1 species
AUGGGGAACCGAAUUUAUUGCGAUAGGUGUGGUACAGAAUUGCAGCCCCACUCACUAUUCCAUAAGACUAUUCAUGGACAAAAUGUAGUUGUGUGCAAUGAAGGCCAUGAAAAUGAGUUCUACAAAGUGCAUGACCACCAUGAGUGUAAAUCCUGCUUCUAUAAGACAAUCAGGGAUCAAGAAGAAAUGAGGAGGGAAGAAGAGAAACGAAGAGAGGAAACAAGGAGAAGAGAAGAAGAAAAAAUGAGAGAGGAAGCAAGGAGAAGGGAAGAAGAGAAACAGAGAGAAGAGAAGAUGAAGAAAGAACAGCAAAGGGCAAGAGAGGCUGAAGAGAAAAAGCGACAAGAAGAACUUAAUCAAAGACUUAAAGAAUCACACAAACAAGCUGAAAAACAACAUGAGCAACAACUGAGCAGAUACUUAUUAGAUAAAGAGGAGUCCAAGCAGCAUGUUCUGAAAAGCAAUCUAAAAGAGUUUGAGCAAAGUGAUAAAUCAGGCAGUGACAGUGAUCAGCUUCUAGAAAUCCUUUCAUCAAAAUGUAGCAUCCCUGUUCCAAAACUUAGUCUUGCUCACAUGACUGCUGAUCAGAUGGGGAAUUUCCUGUUAGUCCUGGACAAACUCCUGUUUGAUGAAUGGGUCAGUGAUCCUCCAUCCCUCAGCACUCUGCAGCACACUCAAGUGUUCAUCACAGAACUGAGUGCCCUGUCUCUGGAGAAAUCUGAAGAUUCCCUGGAAAGCAUUUCUAAUCAGAUACAGUCACUCAUGGAGUCCAUCAGUCAGUCUGCAGUUAAUGUUUCUGAGAGUCUCCUGUUGGCACAAGCCCUGUACAUAACUCUCAUGGAUUUCAAAUCUAACCAUAGCAGCCGUGAUUCUGAUCCAGCUCUCAUUGCCAAACAAUGGGCUGAGGACGACCUAUCCACUGAGGAUCUCUAUCUUAUAGAAUCCCUAGGCACCCUCAUGCUGUCACUACAGAAUGUGGUUGAAAGAGCCUCUGUGUUCAUUUUAAAGAUGGAAGUCCAGUGCUUCAAGUUCCUCCUCGAUAUA